UUCUUUCUAGAUACACUUUCCAGUACAUCUACUUUGUUACGACUUAUUUCAUUUUAAAAUGAAAGCGACGGGCGAUAUGUACAUAUUUUAGAGCUAUAAUCAUUUUAAAUAAAUUUAUUAAAAUUUACAUUCAAAUCCAAAUUCAAAUUUUUAUAAUAAAAAUUAUUCUUAAAUAAAUUUAAUGUAACCCAUCUCUACUUCAAUAUAAACUACACCUUGAUCUGAUUUAUUUUUUAAUUAAAAUUCCUGAAUAUUAAUAUUCUAAUAAAAUAUUCAAACUACGACGAUAUGUAAAUUUAUAAUUAAAGUGAAUAUUAUCGUGGACUAUCAAUUACAGGACAGGUUCCUCUGAAAAGACUAAAAUACCGCCAAAUUUU
rnacentral:rRNA from 1 species